rnacentral:rRNA from 1 species
GUGAGGAAUAUUGGUCAAUGGGCGGGAGCCUGAACCAGCCAAGUCGCGUGAAGGAAGAAGGAUCUAUGGUUCGUAAACUUCUUUUGCAGGGGAAUAAAGUGCAGGACGUGUCCUGUUUUGUAUGUACCCUGAGAAUAAGGAUCGGCUAACUCCGUGCCAGCAGCCGCGGUAAUACGGAGGAUCCGAGCGUUAUCCGGAUUUAUUGGGUUUAAAGGGUGCGUAGGUGGUUUGAUAAGUGAGCGGUGAAAGUUUGCAGCUUAACUGUAAAAAUGCCGUUGAAACUGUCGGACUUGAGUGUAAAUGAGGUAGGCGGAAUGCGUGGUGUAGCGGUGAAAUGCAUAGAUAGCACGCAGAACUCCGAUUGCGAAGGCAGCUUACUAAGCUACAACUGACACUGAAGCACGAAAGCGUGGGGAUCAAACAGGAUUAGAAACCCUUGUAGUCC